rnacentral:rRNA from 1 species
ACGCUGGCGGCGUGCUUAACACAUGCAAGUCGAACGCUGAAGCACCAGCUUGCUGGUGUGGAUGAGUGGCGAACGGGUGAGUAAUACGUGAGUAACCUGCCCUUGACUCUGGGAUAAGCCCGGGAAACUGGGUCUAAUACUGGAUGCUACAUGUCACCGCAUGGUGGUGUGUGGAAAGGGUUUACUGGUCUUGGAUGGGCUCACGGCCUAUCAGCUUGUUGGUGAGGUAAUGGCUCACCAAGGCGACGACGGGUAGCCGGCCUGAGAGGGUGACCGGCCACACUGGGACUGAGACACGGCCCAGACUCCUACGGGAGGCAGCAGUGGGGAAUAUUGCACAAUGGGCGAAAGCCUGAUGCAGCGACGCCGCGUGAGGGAUGACGGCCUUCGGGUUGUAAACCUCUUUCAGCAGGGAAGAAGCCACAAGUGACGGUACCUGCAGAAGAAGCGCCGGCUAACUACGUGCCAGCAGCCGCGGUAAUACGUAGGGCGCAAGCGUUGUCCGGAAUUAUUGGGCGUAAAGAGCUCGUAGGCGGUUUGUCGCGUCUGCUGUGAAAGCCCGGGGCUUAACCCCGGGUGUGCAGUGGGUACGGGCAGACUAGAGUGCAGUAGGGGAGACUGGAAUUCCUGGUGUAGCGGUGGAAUGCGNUNNAUNUCAGGAGGAACACCGAUGGCGAAGGCAGGNNNNNNGGUGCUGUUACGU